rnacentral:rRNA from 1 species
GACGAACGCUGGCGGCGUGCUUAACACAUGCAAGUCGAACGGAAAGGCCCUGCUUGCAGGGUACUCGAGUGGCGAACGGGUGAGUAACACGUGGGUGAUCUGCCCUGCACUUCGGGAUAAGCCUGGGAAACUGGGUCUAAUACCGGAUAGGAGCCAUUUUUAGUGUGAUGGUUGGAAAGUUUUUUCGGUGUAGGAUGAGCUCGCGGCCUAUCAGCUUGUUGGUGGGGUAAUGGCCUACCAAGGCGGCGACGGGUAGCCGGCCUGGGAGGGUGGACGGCCACAUUGGGGCUGGGAUACGGCCCAGACUCCUACGGGGGGCAGCAGUGGGGAAUAUUGCACAAUGGGCGCAAGCCUGAUGCAGCGACGCCGCGUGGGGGAUGACGGCCUUCGGGUUGUAAACUCCUUUCGCUAGGGACGAAGCUUUUUGUGACGGUACCUAGAUAAGAAGCACCGGCUAACUACGUG